rnacentral:rRNA from 1 species
UGCGGGUCGNCCUUCUGGGUAGAGCUCCCGGCGCGUUGGAUGCUUACACUUGAGUGAUCUGACUGGCACUUAAGGAUAUGGCUGGGAUACUGGGUCUAAUACGUUUACAUGACCUCGGAAUGCAUGUUCUGGGGUGGAAAGAUUUAUCGGUGCGAGAUGGGCCCGCGGCCUAUCAGCUUGUUGGAGAGGUAACGGCUCACCAAGGCGACGACGGGUAGCCGACCUGAGAGGGUGACCGGCCACACUGGGACUGAGACACGGCCCAGACUCCUACGGGAGGCAGCAGUGGGGAAUAUUGCACAAUGGGCGCAAGCCUGAUGCAGCGACGCCGCGUGCGGGAUGACGGCCUUCGGGUUGUAAACCGCUUUUGACAGGGACGAAGCGCAAGUGACUGUACCUGUAGAAUAAGGACCGGCCAACUACGUGCCAGCAGCCGCGGUAAUACGUAGGGUCCGAGCGUUGUCCGGAAUUACUGGGCGUAAAGAGCUUGUAGGCGGUUCGUCGCGUCGUUUGUGAAGACUUGGGGCUCAACCUUAAGCUUGCAGGCGAUACGGGCGGACUAGAGUACUUCAGGGGAGACUGGAAUUCCUGGUGUAGCGGUGAAAUGCGCAGAUAUCAGGAGGAACACCGGUGGCGAAGGCGGGUCUCUGGGAAGUAACUGACGCUGAGAAGCGAAAGCAUGGGUAGCAAACAGGAUUAGAUACCCUGGUAGUCCAUGCCGUAAACGGUGGGUACUAGGUGUGGGGCUCCUUCCACGGACUCCGUGCCGUAGCUAACGCAUUAAGUACCCCGCCUGGGGAGUACGGCCGCAAGGCUAAAACUCAAAUGAAUUGCGGGGG